GUAGGUCAGUAAAAGUUUUGAGUAUGAGUAUUUCUAACAGCUAAAUUAACCUCAUAUGUUACAGUAUUAAACAUUGUAGAACGUACUAUUGAAAAACAAUGCAAUAUUAAAAACAAUUCAUCCAUUCAAGGGUGAAAAAGGAUGCUAAGCAUUAAAAUUUAUAAUUUGCAUCAUUGUCACUAUGGUAACACAACUUGUUGACACUCACACUUUUUGCCAUCAUGCCCUUUGACAUGAUGUCACCAUGCCCAGUGAUGGAAUUCAUAUGCUAUGUUGACUGGUUUCCGUGGCUCUGUUCUUCAUCAGUUUACCUGGUACCGUGCGAGAACGUUGUGUUUUUCACUGCUCUCUCCGUGCGUUUUUUUGGCUUCUGCUUUUCCAACAUGCAUUGCAUUGUCGUCUCACCACCCUCUCCAAGACCCUGUGAAGGUCAUCUUGGAGCCCAACCGGACCCUGGACCCUCCCUCCGGACGUCCAACUCUGAGGUCAAGGCCGCUGUCGACUUCACCCCUGCCUCGGCCCCGCCCUGGCGGGUGGUGGUGUCUGGCUCCUCCCUCAGAGCAGUCAUCACCCAGCUGCUGACUCAGGUCAGCCCUGGGUCCCACCCUCCUGUGUGGUGGUUCACCAUCUUCCAGGAGGUCCACCGCCUCCUCCGGUCCUCCUUCCCCUGGGUCAGGGUGAGGGUGGACAGGCAACAGGCCAACUGUCUUCUGCAGCCCAUAGCUCAUCACCAGCUGGCUAAAUACAUCAUGGCCCGUCUGGAGAAACAGUUGAUCCCCUGGAACGGUCUGGAGAAGGCUCUGCUCACCACGCCACACAUCUUCCAGCAUUACGCCGUCUACCUGGUGGCUAAUAGCAUAGCCGGGCUGGUCCCGGAUCAGCUAGCACCUAGCGAGAAGGACCUGCUGAGGAUGGAGUGUACGCUGAAGAGCCUGCCUCCCGGCUCCAUGCUCACCGUCAGCAGCGACCUGGUGGACGACCUCAUGGUCAAGCUGGUACUGAGGCUCCAGCCCCUGAACGGCGAGGGCUACAGACCGCUGAACCAGCAGACGCUCCUGACCACCACUCUCAAGAUGAGUUGUUUCAUCCUGGCCAGACUAAGGAAUAUGCCCGGCAUCACCGUGGACACCAGCCUCCCUUGUCCGUGCUGGGACAUCAGGAGGCUUGCCAUGCUGGUGCAUUGCGGCCUUACCAUGUCCUUGGGGACCUCUCUCCAGGUAGGAUUGGUUGCCGAUGAAUGUAUGGUGGAGGAGCACUGGCUGAGGGCGUCUUCUCUCUUGUCUCUGUUGAAGGGCCCUAAUGUGCUCGUCUCCAUCCUGUGGGAGGUUGUCGAGGCCCUGCUGGCCCGGUACCAUUCAGACCGCCCUGAGGAAUCCUCCAUCCCCACCCAAGUUCCCAGGGUGAUGCAGAAGGAGCAGGAGAUGGAGGAAGAGCUGCUCAGCCAGAGACUUCCUGAGCAGCUCACGGAGCAACUCUACGGGACGUUUGGCACGUGGGUCCAACACGGCAAACUCUUUGGCAGGGCUCUCCCACCGAUGAGCACCGCAGAGCAGGACCUGAGAGGAGGGGACGCAACCGUCCUCAGCAACACUCUGGCUGACGACCCUGUCGCUCUGGACCCCAGUCUGGACGCCCCUCAGAAGGCGCAGCCCGACAGCCACAGCCGUUGUGAUCCGUCUGUGAUGGAGAACAGUAGCUGUGGCCCUGUCACUGGAGAUCCCCUUCCUCCAGCAGCUCAGCCAGAGAACGGAGAGUCUAACUCCGUCUCCACAACCGACCCGGUUGUGAUCCAGCGGUCCACCGUUGGAUUCAUUGUGGCCCAGCUGUUCAGAGGCCGGGAUGAAAUGUCCUCCCUGUCCCACAUCGACCGGUACCGGGCCUUCCAGAACCUGGUUGUCCGAGAAGUCCACCUCCUGCUGCAGGAGGAGGCCACCAUGAACCAGGGCAACCCUGGGUUUGAGCGGACCCUGGAGCGCCUGAAGGACCCCGCGCAGGAGGAGAAACUGGGUCUGCAGCUUCGCUGGGUGCUUGAGGAUAGGCUGAGAGAGGCCUUGCCCGGCGUGUGCCUGUCCAGGGACGGGCUCAUGAAGGACCCCCCGAACACCCUGCUGGCCUGCUCCCUGAUCGCCACAGAGGUCCUUGAUCACCUGAAGACCUCUGUGAGCUCUCCUGACUACAACAAUGAGGCAGAGGAGUGUCUUCACGGGGAACAGUUGUUGGCCCCCACUAAGGACCCCCAGAAUGCCCUGCUGGCCUCUAAUGAACCGGACCCCCAGAAUCCCCCUGAUGACUUCAAGGGAGCAGAGGAGUGCCUCCACGGGGAAGACACAACGUUGGUCACCUCCCCUAAGGAGACUGUGGAGGUGAAGAAGAAAAGGAGGAGGUGGUCUUGGCUUCGCCGGCUCUUCACCUGCAAAAGAAAAUAAGCACGCCAUUGCUUGUAUAUAACUUGCAUUUAUUGUUUUUCUUAUUUUUGUUUUAUACCUUGAUUUAUUUUGCAUUUCCAGACGUUGCUCGCAUCGUUUGCAGGUUUCUUUAUUAACAUAAUGGAUGGAUAUAGAAAAUAUGUAUUUGUUUAUAGAUCGAGCCAGGGCCGUUAUCUACCUCAUCCCCCUUUAUACGAGUUCCAAUUAUAAAAUAGGUCAUGUAUCGCAAGAUUACCUACCAGUAACUCUCAUGUACAGCUUAAUGCACUUUCCAAACCUCACCUAAAGUCACGUGCAAAAUAAGGGCCUAAAAUAAACACUUCAUAGUCCCCACAGAUUCUCACUGUUAGAUCUACUGUAGGGAUGUUUACAAUGGGUGCAGCCCAUUCACUGAUAUUAACAGGUGUAAUAACCCCAUCAGCCUCCAUUUUGUUUAACUGGACUUCGACUGGGCUUCCCUAAGUGCAUAAGGCACAGAUCGUGGUUUGCAAAAUCUGGGAAUGGCCCCUGUCACGACAUGAAGUUUAGCUUUUAUCCCUGUCACCUUGCCUAGAGUGGGCUGAAACACCUCUGGGUACCUGUUACAAAGCUCCUCAAAACUGUCAGGUGCUACUCUGUUUACAGAGGACCAAUCUAGGUUUAGCUUUUUGAUCCAGGGAGCGAAUAUUUGAGCCCCACACGCAAGUGAAAAGCACGGGAAAUAAAUACGGGAUAAUAUAGAAUGAUGCAAAAACAGAUAUAUUUUUCCCUGCAGCAAUAUUCAGGCGAUAUCCCGGCGUUAUUUUAAGUUUCAAAGUUAUGUUCUUCCCGUCACCUGCCGUGAGUUGGAUUUGAACCAGUAAUCUGCACAACCAGCGAUCUAUACAUCUAUACAAUUGAUACAAUUAAUCAAUACUCCUAAUGACUCAUGAAGUUUAUUUCUGAU
ensembl:lncRNA